UGGGGAAUAUUGCACAAUGGGCGAAAGCCUGAUGCAGCAACGCCGCGUGAGGGACGAAGGCCUUCGGGUUGUAAACCUCUUUUAGUAGGGAAGAAGCGCAAGUGACGGUACCUACAGAAAAAGCACCGGCUAACUACGUGCCAGCAGCCGCGGUAAUACGUAGGGUGCAAGCGUUGUCCGGAAUUAUUGGGCGUAAAGAGCUCGUAGGCGGCUUGUCGCGUCUGCUGUGAAAUCCCGAGGCUCAACCUCGGGCGUGCAGUGGGUACGGGCAGGCUAGAGUGCGGUAGGGGAGAUUGGAAUUCCUGGUGUAGCGGUGGAAUGCGCAGAUAUCAGGAGGAACACCAAUGGCGAAGGCAGAUCUCUGGGCCGCUACUGACGCUGAGGAGCGAAAGCAUGGGGAGCGAACAGG
rnacentral:rRNA from 1 species